AAGGCCAGCCUGGGCUACUGAGCAAGUGCCAGGAUAGGCUCCAAAGUUAUACAGAGCAACCCUGUCUCAAAAAACCAAAACCAAACAAACAAACAAAACAACUAUAAGUCUCUCUCCUUUUCCAAAGUGUGAAGGGACUGAGUCUCCUGGGCAGGGAUCUAGGCUGGAGGGUGUCAGACCCACAUCCUCAUCAAAAAGGCACUCCUCCUGGCUUCCCCAGUUUUCUAUUUUGAUUUAAAUGAGGAUACUGCAGGCCUUCCUCUGUAGAUGAAAGUUUCUGUCCGGCCAGGUCCCCCAGCUGUUUAAUCCCAAAUAAACACACAGAGGCUUAUAUUAAUUAUAAACUGUUUUGUGGAUGGCUCAGGCUUCUUAGUGGCUAUUUCUCUCUUAAUUAUUAGCCCAUUUCUGUUAAUCUGUGUAUCUCCAUGUGGUGUUAGAUUACUGGUAAUGCUCGGGUCUGUUUCUUCCGUGGCAGCUACAAGUCAUCACUCUCACAACUCAUGCUUUCUGUUCCUCUUCUCAGAAUUCUCCUAGUCUGGUAUCCCCGCCUAUACGUCUUGCCUGGCUACAUCCUGCCUGUCCAUUGGCCAAAACAGCUUUAUUCAUCAACCAGUCCCUGCUUCAAAAUGCCCUCUUUGGGCCCCGAGGCCGUCGCCAGUCAUUCCUGCCGUCUCCUUUUCAAAAGAUUAUUAUUUUAUUUUAAAUUA